rnacentral:rRNA from 1 species
GACGAACGCUGGCGGCGUGCCUAAUACAUGCAAGUCGAACGCAGUGGGGACGGGUGAGUAAAAACUGGGUAACCUCCCAUCAGAGGGGAUAACACUUGGAAACAGGUGCUAAACCGAUACUGAUGGAUGGCCCAGCGGGGGAUUAGCUAGGUGGUGAGGUAAAGGCCCACCAAGGCCAAGAUGCAUAGCUGAACUGAGAGGGUGAGCGGCCACACUGGGACUGAGACACGGCCCAGACUCCUACGGGAGGCAGCAGUAGGGAAUCUUGGGCAAUGGGCGAAAGUCUGACCGAGCUACGCCGCGUGAGUGAAGAAGGUUUUCGGGUUGUAAAGUUCUGUUGUUAGAGAGGCGGUAUCUAACCAGAAAGCCACGGCUAACUACGUGCCAGCAGCCGCGGUAAUUC